UCAAACAAAAUGUUAAACGAAGCGCAUUAUUUAAAAAAAAAAGAGUAAUGCAAAAGCGAGUCGAAUCAAAGAGGAUGCCAAUCCAAAUCAUUGCAUAUACAUGUAUAUGCAUGAUCGAUGACUACAUAUAUUAUACCAAGAGUGUAGAACGACGCUAGUGUGUAUAUAUAAGUACAUGUUAUUAGUCGGUGUUCAGUCAUCGCAAAAUCAAAACAUAUCGAGAUAUACCGGAUAUUCAUCUAGCGAUACCAAGCAUAAUAUAUUGUAUGGUCGCGUACCAUGCACCGAGAUAAACAUUGGGCCAGCAAACCGUUCCUCAGUGCAUUGGCUUUGAUUGAAAAAUUCAGCUUUCACAAGGUGUACUACUACAAUAAUGGUUGUAUUAAUAUCGGACUGAAGCUUCUUUUUUUCGACUAUUACAUCCAUGCACCGCAUAUAAUAUAUACAUAAAUGCACUCAACAUCCAAGAGUGGUUGGCCGUAUAUAUAUAUAUAUUUAACUACAAUCAUCAUAGCACACACACGGCUUAAACGCG